GGUGGUGUAGUUUAGUGGUGGAGUGCUUGUCUAGCAUAAUGAAGCCCUAGGUUAAAGCCCUAGCACCACAA
rnacentral:tRNA from 1 species